GGCCACAUAGCUCAGCGGUAGAGCAACCGGCUGUUAACCGGUUGGUCACAGGUUCAAAUCCUGUUGUGGCCGCCA
rnacentral:tRNA from 29 species